rnacentral:rRNA from 1 species
AGGAUGAACGCUGGCGGCGUGCCUAAAACAUGCAAGUCAUACGGUCUACCUUCGGGUAGACAGUGGCAAACGGGUGAGUAACACGUGGGAACACGCCUUCGAGUGGGGAAUAACGCUGAGAAAUCAGUGCUAAUACCGCAUAUGGUCUAACGACUAAAGCAGUAAUGCGCUCGGAGAGUGGCCCGCGUCCGAUUAGCUAGUUGGUGGGGUAAUGGCCUACCAAGGCGGUGAUCGGUAGCUGGUCUGAGAGGAUGGUCAGCCACACUGGGACUGCGAACGGCCCAGACUCCUACGGGAGGCAGCAGUUAGGAAUUUUCGGCAAUGGACGAAAGUCUGACCGAGCGACGCCGCGUGGAGGACGAAGCCUUUCGGGGUGUAAACUCCUUUUCUGCGGGAAGAUAAUGACGGUACCGCAGGAAUAAGCACCGGCUAACUACGCGCCAGCAGCCGC